rnacentral:antisense_RNA from 1 species
ACCUGAGUCAUCCCUGGAGUCUCACACUUGAUCUUAGCCAAAAGGCCGAGAAGCAAUCAUCCCUGGAGUCUCUCUGA